AGAGUUUGAUCCUGGCUCAGGAUGAACGCUGGCGGUAUGCCUUACACAUGCAAGUCGAACGGGAAUUAGCUUCGGUUAAUUCUAGUGGCGGACGGGUGAGUAACACGUGAGAAUUCGCCUUUAGGAGGGGGAUAACGAAUGGAAACAUUCGCUAAAACCCCAUAUGCCCCUGGGUGAAACAGAGGAUAUCAGUUAAACUAACUAACCUCUGCCUGAAGAGAAGCUCGCGGCUGAUUAGCUAGUUGGUAGGGUAAUGGCCUACCAAGGCGACGAUCAGUAGCUGGUCUGAGAGGACGAUCAGCCACACUGGAACUGAGACACGGUCCAGACUCCUACGGGAGGCAGCAGUGAGGAAUUUUCUGCAAUGGGCGAAAGCCUGACAGAGCAAUACCGCGUGAGGGAUGAAGACUUACUGAGUUGUAAACCUCGGUACCUUAAGGAAGAAGAUAUGACGGUACUUAAGGUGGAAAGCAUCGGCUAACUCCGUGCCAGCAGCCGCGGUAAGACGGGGGAUGCAAGUGUUAUCCGGAUUUACUGGGCGUAAAGCGUCUGCAGGUGGUUCCUUAAGUCUACUGUUAAAUCUUGAGGCUCAACCUCAAAUCUGCAGUAGAAACUAGGAGACUUGAGUAUAGUAGGGGUAGAGGGAAUUUCCAGUGUAGCGGUGAAAUGCGUAGA
rnacentral:rRNA from 1 species